UCUUUAAGCUGUCCUGGAUGUUUCUCCGUUUGUAAUACCAUUUUCCCGGCACCAACUAAUACUUGUGCGGCAAACUUAGUUGCUAGUGCACGAGGUAAACCAGUUUUCACUGCUCCAUCAGCUAAUCCUUCCACCAUAAGUUAACUUACAUAAGCUGGACCUGACCCAGCCAAACCACCGGCUGAGUUAAUCAAAUUUUCCGGAAUCUCUUCAAUAAUGCCUAUUUGUGACAGCAUUUUAACCACUGGAAGUGCAUCGCUUUCAGAUACUUGGGCAUUUCGAGAGUAUACUUAAAUAAUAAAAACCACGUAUUUAUUAAAUGCAACGUAAUGAAUAAUAAAAUAAUAAUUUCAUAUAAACAAUUUUUGAAAUACGCACCUGUUAUGCCUUCUCCAAUACUUAACGGUGUGUUUGGCAUUGUUCUGAUAAUUUUCAAAGGUAAUUGUUGUCCUAAAUGUAGUUGAAUUUCCUGAAAGAAUAGCACAAGUUAAUUAAAAAAAUUGAGGAAAAUAAAAACAUUAUUCAAUGAAA